rnacentral:rRNA from 1 species
GACGAACGCUGGCGGCGUGCUUAACACAUGCAAGUCGAACGGUGAAGGUGGAGCUUGCUCCGCCGGAUCAGUGGCGAACGGGUGAGUAACACGUGGGCAACCUGCCCCAGACUUCGGGAUAACUCCUCGAAAGAGGUGCUAAUACCGGAUACGAACUCCUUGGGCAUCCUUGGAGUUGGAAAGUUUUUCGGUCUGGGAUGGGCCCGCGGCCUAUCAGCUUGUUGGUGAGGUAACGGCUCACCAAGGCGACGACGGGUAGCCGGCCUGAGAGGGCGACCGGCCACACUGGGACUGAGACACGGCCCAGACUCCUACGGGAGGCAGCAGUGGGGAAUAUUGCGCAAUGGGCGAAAGCCUGACGCAGCAACGCCGCGUGAGGGAUGACGGCCUUCGGGUUGUAAACCUCUUUCGGCAGGGAAGAAGCGAAAGUGACGGUACCUGCAGAAGAAGCACCGGCUAACUACGUGCCAGCCGCCGCAGUAA